GAUGAACGCUGGCGGCGUGCCUAAUACAUGCAAGUCGAGCGAACGGACGAGAAGCUUGCUUCUCUGAUGUUAGCGGCGGACGGGUGAGUAACACGUGGAUAACCUACCUAUAAGACUGGGAUAACUUCGGGAAACCGGAGCUAAUACCGGAUAAUAUUUUGAACCGCAUGGUUCAAAAGUGAAAGGCGGUCUUUCUGUCACUUAUAGAUGGAUCCGCGCUGCAUUAGCUAGUUGGUAAGGUAACGGCUUACCAAGGCAACGAUGCAUAGCCGACCUGAGAGGGUGAUCGGCCACACUGGAACUGAGACACGGUCCAGACUCCUACGGGAGGCAGCAGUAGGGAAUCUUCCGCAAUGGGCGAAAGCCUGACGGAGCAACGCCGCGUGAGUGAUGAAGGUCUGCGGAUCGUAAAACUCUGUUAUUAGGGAAGAACAUAUGUGUAAGUAACUGUGCACAUCUUGACGGUACCUAAUCAGAAAGCCACGGCUAACUACGUG
rnacentral:rRNA from 1 species